rnacentral:tRNA from 1 species
GCCUGGCAUAGUGGUUUGAAUAUUGGACUACAACUCUGGAGGCCAGGGUUCGAUUCCCAGCUCAGCCA